CUGUUUUACAUAACUGAGAACUGAAAACCUUGGAGUUUCACAGAAAAUAAUCCCCCCAAUUUCUUAAUCUACAUCACAGAAAUUCCUUCUUCUUUUACUAGGAAUAAUCCAGGCUAGGUGUUACUUGCCUUUUGCUGUGUGCACAUGGACAUAUAUGAUUAGUUAGUUCAAAAAAGUGACUCUUUGCUUCCUCUGAACUGAAUGCAAAUGAUAGUGAAAUACGGGCAUAAUAUCUGCUGCAAAUUCUGUGUUUUAUCUCUAUGGAAUUCUGUGGAACCAGUUCCUUAGGUUUUAAUACUAGGAGUCUUUUCAUAACCAUCCAACAAGGAAAGAGGACAGCACUUUUGUUUUUUGCCAGAUUUCUUGGGGCAAAAUGCAUACUUGCAGGAUAUGAAUAAAGUAGGCUGGGAAGGAAGUCUGUAUUCUUAUGCAAGUAGUCGUGGAAGUUAAAAAUGAGAUCUAAGGCAGAGAAUACAUGUUUGAGCAAGUAUUUUGAAUAUAAAGAACAGCUACUAUAA